GAUUAAUGCCAUUACAAUAGUUACAUUUGAAACUGGUCAGGACCGGAAGGUAGCAGCCAUAAGACUAAGGACUAUGUGUAUUGGCAUUUUUUAUA
rnacentral:SRP_RNA from 1 species